rnacentral:tRNA from 1 species
GCGGUCGUAGUCUAGCAUGGUUAGGACACUGGCCUCCCAAGCCGGCAACCCGGGUUCAAAUCUCGGCGACCGCACCA